rfam:Salpingoeca sp. ATCC 50818 unplaced genomic scaffold supercont1.4, whole genome shotgun sequence.
GCACUCAUGGCCGAGUGGUCGAAGGCGAUGGCCUUGAAUGUCCUAAUUGGAUUAAUGCAAGCCAUUGGGCUCUGCCCGCGUAGGUUCAAAUCCUGCUGGGUGCG